AGUCUCUGUAGUAUAAAGAGUACGUUGAGUUGCAAUUUCAAAAGUAAGAUUAGAUCUUUAGGGAAUA
rnacentral:tRNA from 1 species